rnacentral:rRNA from 1 species
GAGGAAUACCGGUGGCGAAGGCGGCCCCCUGGACAAAGACUGACGCUCAGGUGCGAAAGCGUGGGGAGCAAACAGGAUUAGAUACCCUGGUAGUCCACGCCGUAAACGAUGUCUACUUGGAGGUUGUGCCCUUGAGGCGUGGCUUCCGGAGCUAACGCGUUAAGUAGACCGCCUGGGGAGUACGGCCGCAAGGUUAAAACUCAAAUGAAUUGACGGGGGCCCGCACAAGCGGUGGAGCAUGUGGUUUAAUUCGAUGCAACGCGAAGAACCUUAC